UUUUAUGGAGAGUUUGAUCCUGGCUCAGGAUGAACGCUGGCGGCGUGCCUAAUACAUGCAAGUCGAGCGAACGGACGAGAAGCUUGCUUCUCUGAUGUUAGCGGCGGACGGGUGAGUAACACGUGGAUAACCUACCUAUAAGACUGGGAUAACUUCGGGAAACCGGAGCUAAUACCGGAUAAUAUUUUGAACCGCAUGGUUCAAAAGUGAAAGACGGUCUUGCUGUCACUUAUAGAUGGAUCCGCGCUGCAUUAGCUAGUUGGUAAGGUAACGGCUUACCAAGGCAACGAUGCAUAGCCGACCUGAGAGGGUGAUCGGCCACACUGGAACUGAGACACGGUCCAGACUCCUACGGGAGGCAGCAGUAGGGAAUCUUCCGCAAUGGGCGAAAGCCUGACGGAGCAACGCCGCGUGAGUGAUGAAGGUCUUCGGAUCGUAAAACUCUGUUAUUAGGGAAGAACAUAUGUGUAAGUAACUGUGCACAUCUUGACGGUACCUAAUCAGAAAGCCACGGCUAACUACGUGCCAGCAGCCGCGGUAAUACGUAGGUGGCAAGCGUUAUCCGGAAUUAUUGGGCGUAAAGCGCGCGUAGGCGGUUUUUUAAGUCUGAUGUGAAAGCCCACGGCUCAACCGUGGAGGGUCAUUGGAAACUGGAAAACUUGAGUGCAGAAGAGGAAAGUGGAAUUCCAUGUGUAGCGGUGAAAUGCGCAGAGAUAUGGAGGAACACCAGUGGCGAAGGCGACUUUCUGGUCUGUAACUGACGCUGAUGUGCGAAAGCGUGGGGAUCAAACAGGAUUAGAUACCCUGGUAGUCCACGCCGUAAACGAUGAGUGCUAAGUGUUAGGGGGUUUCCGCCCCUUAGUGCUGCAGCUAACGCAUUAAGCACUCCGCCUGGGGAGUACGACCGCAAGGUUGAAACUCAAAGGAAUUGACGGGGACCCGCACAAGCGGUGGAGCAUGUGGUUUAAUUCGAAGCAACGCGAAGAACCUUACCAAAUCUUGACAUCCUUUGACAACUCUAGAGAUAGAGCCUUCCCCUUCGGGGGACAAAGUGACAGGUGGUGCAUGGUUGUCGUCAGCUCGUGUCGUGAGAUGUUGGGUUAAGUCCCGCAACGAGCGCAACCCUUAAGCUUAGUUGCCAUCAUUAAGUUGGGCACUCUAAGUUGACUGCCGGUGACAAAUCGGAGGAAGGUGGGGAUGACGUCAAAUCAUCAUGCCCCUUAUGAUUUGGGCUACACACGUGCUACAAUGGACAAUACAAAGGGCAGCGAAACCGCGAGGUCAAGCAAAUCCCAUAAAGUUGUUCUCAGUUCGGAUUGUAGUCUGCAACUCGACUACAUGAAGCUGGAAUCGCUAGUAAUCGUAGAUCAGCAUGCUACGGUGAAUACGUUCCCGGGUCUUGUACACACCGCCCGUCACACCACGAGAGUUUGUAACACCCGAAGCCGGUGGAGUAACCUUUUAGGAGCUAGCCGUCGAAGGUGGGACAAAUGAUUGGGGUGAAGUCGUAACAAGGUAGCCGUAUCGGAAGGUGCGGCUGGAUCACCUCCUUUCUAA
rnacentral:rRNA from 1 species